rnacentral:tRNA from 1 species
GGAGAUUUAGCUCAGUGGUAGAGCGCUUACCUAGCAAGCACAAGGCCCUGGGUUCGGUUCCCAGCUCCG